UACGUAGGGUGCAAGCGUUAAUCGGAAUUACUGGGCGUAAAGCGUGCGCAGGCGGCUUUGCAAGACAGAUGUGAAAUCCCCGGGCUUAACCUGGGAACUGCAUUUGUGACUGCAUGGCUAGAGUGCGGCAGAGGGGGAUGGAAUUCCGCGUGUAGCAGUGAAAUGCGUAGAUAUCUGGAGGAACACCGGUGGCGAAGGCGGCAUCCUGGACCAAUUCUGACGCUGAGGAGCGAAAGCCAGGGGAGCAAACGGG
rnacentral:rRNA from 1 species